rnacentral:rRNA from 1 species
CAAGCGGUGGAGCACGUGGUUUAAUUCGAAGCAACGCGCAGAACCUUACCAACCCUUGACAUCCUGAUCGCGGAUACUGGAGACAGUUUCCUUCAUUUAGUUGGAUCAGUGACAGGUGCUGCAUGGCUGUCGUCAGCUCGUGUCGUGAGAUGUUCGGUUAAGUCCGGCAACGAGCGCAACCCACAUCCCUAGUUACCAGCAGGUUAAGCUGGGCACUCUAUGGAAACUGCCCGUGAUAAGCGGGAGGAAGGUGUGGAUGACGUCAAGUCCUCAUGGCCCUUACGGGUUGGGCUACACACGUGCUACAAUGGCAGUGACAGUGGGUUAAUCCCAAAAAACUGUCUCAGUUCGGAUUGGGGUCUGCAACUCGACCCCAUGAAGUCGGAAUCGCUAGUAAUCGCGUAACAGCAUGACGCGGUGAAUACGUUCCCGGGCCUUGUACACACCGCCCGUCACACCAUGGGAGUUGGGUUUACCCGAAGGCCGUGCGCCAACCUUUCGAGGGGGCAGCGGACCACGGUGAGCUCAGCGACUGGGGUG